AUUAAUACCGCAUAAUAUGUUUAGAUCGCAUGAUCUUAACAUCAAAGGAAUUUCUUCGGAAAUUUCACUUUGAGAUGGACCCGCGGCGCAUUAGCUAGUUGGUGAGGUAAAGGCCCACCAAGGCAACGAUGCGUAGCCGACCUGAGAGGGUGAUCGGCCACAUUGGAACUGAGACACGGUCCAGACUCCUACGGGAGGCAGCAGUGGGGAAUAUUGCGCAAGGGGGGAAACCCUGACGCAGCAACGCCGCGUGAA
rnacentral:rRNA from 1 species